rnacentral:misc_RNA from 1 species
AAGUCGUAACAAGGUUUCCGUAGGUGAACCUGCGGAAGGAUCAUUAUUUGAUCUCUUGAGGUAGCAUUUGCAAAAAUGCGGCCUUUUUGCUUUGUGAACUGUCUUGUACUGUUGUAUUUUUCUUUUUACUUUUUUUCCUUUGGAAAAAAUUAAAGACAACUUUCAGCAAUGGAUCUCUUGGCUCUU